rnacentral:rRNA from 1 species
CAAGUCGAGGGGUAUAGUAGCAAUACUAGAGACCGGCGCACGGGUGCGUAACGCGUAUGCAAUUUACCUUUCACAGAGGGAUAGCCCAGAGAAAUUUGGAUUAAUACCUCAUAGCAUAUAUGAAUGGCAUCAUUUAUAUAUUAAAGUCACAACGGUGAAAGAUGAGCAUGCGUCCCAUUAGCUAGUUGGUAAGGUAACGGCUUACCAAGGCGACGAUGGGUAGGGGUCCUGAGAGGGAGAUCCCCCACACUGGUACUGAGACACGGACCAGACUCCUACGGGAGGCAGCAGUGAGGAAUAUUGGACAAUGGGCGCAAGCCUGAUCCAGCCAUGCCGCGUGCAGGAUGACGGUCCUAUGGAUUGUAAACUGCUUUUGCACAGGAAGAAACACCCCGACGUGUCGGGACUUGACGGUACUGUGAGAAUAAGGAUCGGCUAACUCCGUGCCAGCAGCCGCGGUAAUACGGAGGAUCCAAGCGUUAUCCGGAAUCAUUGGGUUUAAAGGGUCUGUAGGCGGUCUUAUAAGUCAGUGGUGAAAUCUCCCCGCUCAACGGGGAAACGGCCAUUGAUACUGUAGGACUUGAAUUAUUAGGAAGUAACUAGAAUAUGUAGUGUAGCGGUGAAAUGCUUAGAGAUUACAUGGAAUACCAAUUGCGAAGGCAGGUUACUACUAAUGGAUUGACGCUGAUGGACGAAAGCGUGGGUAGCGAACAGGAUUAGAUACCCUGGUAGUCCACGCCGUAAACGAUGGAUACUAGCUGUUGGGAGCAAUUUCAGUGGCUAAGCGAAAGUGAUAAGUAUCCCACCUGGGGAGUACGUUCGCAAGAAUGAAACUCAAAGGAAUUGACGG